AUGAACUUUAUUAUAACUGUUUAAAUAUAACUAAUUGAACACAAAUGUUGAAUUCCUUUACUUUAAAUACAAGCUUUUACAAUAGACGUCUAUACUAAUUAACGGUCGCUAUGCGAGUGUGUAUUAACAAAUUGUUUUAAAUAAAAUGCAAUAAAAAAAAAACGAAAUACCGUAAAUUCAAGAAAAUCGUAGUUGGCGCUAAACUAACUUCAAAUAGAAUUGCCAAACGCAAAGGUUCAUUCACAUUCCAUAACAACGGGCAAACGGGUCUCCGCUGCCAUCUAAGAGUGACAUGUGAAUUAAUUUAUCUCUAUCAAAAGUAGGGGUACGCAACAUCGGCGACGGAGUCCUAGCUUGGCCCCUCUGAUUUUAUAUAGCGCUCUUAUGGGACCUUACACUCUAUGUGACACUCUUUGGUUUGAGGUUAUUUGCUUGCUUAAUUUUUUAUGACUUUUCUAUGUGUCGCGGUGCUCUAGUGUUUCUGUACUGUGAUCUUUUGUGAAUUGAGUUUACUCGAUUUUGAUUGAGAUUUGCUGUAACGAGAGCGGAGGGGAUUUUAUUCCCUUGGAUGCGAGGAGUUAUUUAGGUUUCUGAAACCUUUUACGCAGUGCUGCAGAUCUGCUUCCGAAUUGAGUUGAUUUGAUUUAGAUUGGGGUUUGCUGUAUGGGGAGCAGAGAGGAUUUUUGUUCGCCUGGGUAUGACGGAAUGAUUAGGUUACUGGAGUCUUGUAUUCUGUAUAAUCUGAGAGGAUACUCUAUAGGUAUUUACUUCUUUCUGUUCGAAGAGUUAGGGGUAGGUCUAUUUUUGAGUUGAGUUAAUUUGAUUUAUGGGAUAUUUCCAUGUAUCGUGGCGUUCUAUAAGACAAGAGAUGCUGGAAUAGUAUUGUUUUUAUUACCGAAAAAUCCUGUUAUGUAAAUAUACAUUAUGUUUUAUAUGAGUAUUUGUUGCAAAUGUGAGGGAGGAAACAUUAAAGAUGACUAUCCUUUGUAGCUGAGACAGGUGGUUCCAGUUUGCGAGUAUUGAUGCCAGAGAGAAUAGGAGCAUUUGUAUAUGUAACUUAAUAUUUAGCUAAUUUUAAUUUUUAGUUAAUUUAACGACUUUAAUUGUGUAGUCGCGAAUACAUAUUUUAAGGAAAGUAUUGUGUGUUUAUACCGUGCAUUAAUUUAUUAUAUCCUACCUCUCUCUUAACUUUUACUA